ACAACAACAUUCGGACCGUCGGUCUACCGAGUAAUAUCACCCGCUCGGUGGAAGAUCUUCCCUUUGUCGUAUAUA
rnacentral:pre_miRNA from 1 species